GAUGAAGAACGUAGCGAAAUGCGAUAAGUAGUGUGAAUUGCAGAAUUCAGUGAAUCAUCGAAUCUUUGAACGCACAUUGCGCCCCUUGGUAUUCCAUGGGGCAUGCCUGUUCGAGCGUCAUUUGUACCUUCAAGCUCUGCUUGGUGUUGGGUGUUUGUCUCGCCUCUGCGUGUAGACUCGCCUCAAAACAAUUGGCAGCCGGCGUAUUGAUUUCGGAGCGCAGUACAUCUCGCGCUUUGCACCCAUAACGACGACGUCCAAAAGUACAUUUUUACACUCUUGACCUCGGAUCAGGUAGGGAUACCCGCUGAACUUAAGCAUAUCAAUAAGCGGAGGA
rnacentral:misc_RNA from 1 species